GUUUACAAAUAAACGGAGAUUCACACAAAUUAAUUCAAUUCACAAAUCAAUGAAAAGGAGGAUUUAAACAGGAUGGAGUAUUUAUUGGAUUAUGACUGGGGACCAGGUGGACAUUCACUGGGCUGAUGUAUGAGAAUGUUUAUUGCUGCUGCGGUGUAUGCUGAUACUGGAUUCUUGGACCCAUUCGUUAAAAAACAAAUGGUGCUGAUGGAUGGACGUGUCCCAAGAGUUGUGAAGGAACUUGUGACAUAGGAAAUAACCAGGAAGGAGGUUGGCACAAUGCAGUCAAGCAGGUGAAGUUCCCCCUGAGUCUGCUGAACCCAGUCACCGAUCAUACUGCCAGGGAAGCUUGAUUCUUCAUUCUGUAAUUUCUGUCUCCAUAUUUAAAUCUUAUUAGAAACCUUCAGUCUCAAUUAAGCCUAAGAGCACGGCAAU